UUUUUGCCUGCGGGCGGAGGCGGUUGGGUGCGGUUGGAGAGCCGCUUGGGAAUCCGGCCUCGGACACCGACGGUUGUUGCGAUGCGGCUGUGGCGUCCGCGGGCUGAGACCGAUCCCUUCAUGGAGACAGAGAAGGAAAAGACCGGGGAGCACCCCAGGAAGGACAGGAAGAGGAGGCAGGUCUCCAACCAGCUGGUCCGGGCGACAGAGCCGAGGAGAGCCUGUUGGGCUCUGAAGGACUUGCGGCCUGAGGCCAAGAAAGCUCGCUUAUCUGCCAUUUUAUUUGCUUGUAAUUGUCAAGUAACCCCUGGCCAACUGUGUGAAUUGCUGAAGUAUGCAGUUCUGGGCAGAUCCAUUGUGCCUAGACCCAGUUGGUGCCAGAUUUUUCACCAAAACCACCCGAACAAUGUAGUGGUUUUUAUUCUUCAAGGGAUGAGUCAGUUGCAUUUCUACAAGUUCUAUUUGGAGUUCGAAUUUCUCCGGAAGAUAUUCAGACAUAAAUUCUGCUUGCCUCCUCAAUCAUCUAAUUUUCUAGCUGAUAUCAUUGGCCUGCAAAAGAAAACAACUGGAGAUCUGCCCAAGACCAGUAAAGGAUCUUUACCUUCUUCUAGUUCAAAAGCCAACAUCAACCUGCAUAAUGACUCCAUUAUUCAAAAGCAUGGCUCUAAAAAAGUAGGCCUGAGCUGCUGCCUUCUAACAAUGGAGGAAAUGAAAACAUUUCACUUUCCAUUACAAGGUUCUCCUGACUGUGAAAACUUUAUACCUACCAAAUGUAAUGGUUCUAUAACAGACAACAGCCCUCUGUUUGGACUUGCUUGUGAAAUGUGCCUCACAUCCAAGGGGAGAGAACUAACACGCAUCUCACUGGUAGCUGAAGGGGGCUGCUGUAUUAUGGAUGAACUGGUCAAACCUGAUAUCAGGAUUGUGGACUACCACACCAGCUUUUCAGGAAUCACAAAGACUAUUUUUAACUCAGUGGCAACCAAACUCAAAGAUGUACAGAGGCAAUUAAGUGCACUGCUUCCACCUGAUGCUGUGUUAGUCGGACACUCGCUAGACUUGGAUCUCAGAGCAUUGAAAAUGAUACAUCCAUAUCUUAUUGAUACCUCAUUGCUUUAUGUCAGAGAGCAGGGCAGAAGAUUUAAGCUAAAAUUCUUAGCCAAAGCUAUUUUGGGGAAGGAUAUACAGCAUCCAAACACGCUUCAGCAUGAUGCCACAGAAGAUGCUAGAACAGCCCUUGAAUUGGCUCAGUAUUUCCUUAAGUAUGGCCCAAAGAAGAUUGCAGAGCUCAAUCUGGAGUCACUAGGUAGUCACCAAGAACUGCAAGCAGCAGGUCAAAAGCCAAGAAACACAACAGAAAUUCCACACCCAAACACAAGUGUUUUAGAAUGUGUGAACUUAGUGGGUCAGAAGCUCCUUUUUGUGGCACUGGAGAAAGGCGCUACUGAACUUUCUUCUUAUGGAAACUGUGAAACUAUUAAGUGCCUUUCAAAUAAAGAGGUCUUUGAGCAGGCCAGAGUGGAAAUUCCCCUCUUUCCCUUCAGCAUUGUCCAGUUCUCUUUUGACCCCUUUACACCUGUCUUCACUGAGGAGAUGAGUAAAAGGAUGAAGACCAAAUGGAGAGAGAUGUCAACUGUCUAUGCUGGGCCAGUUAGCAGAACUUACAACUUCAGGCCUCUGAAGAGGCUUUUGAAAAGCUUUGGCCCAAUUCAGUCAAUGUCUUUUGUUCUUGAAACUUAUCAGCCUCAUCUCUGUGUACAGUAUGAAGUCCUGGAAGCUGCUCAGCUGGCCAUAGAGUCCUUGAAUGGCAUUGUGGUGGAAGGUAUCUGCAUCAAGGUGCAGAGGCCUGUGACAGAGCUUACCCUUGACUGUGACAUUCUUAUGAAAGAGCUGGAACGAGAUUCUGAGAACCGAGAUACUAUUUAUCUGUCAGGAGUGAGUGAAUCCUUCAAAGAUCACAUAUUUCAUGUGUCCAGCCACUUCCCAGGCCUGGAAGCUGUGAUCCUUCCUAAAGAUCUUGAAAGUGGAAAGCAGAAAAAAUUCUGUUUCAUGAAAUUCAAAACUUUUGCCAGUGCCCAGAGGGCCCUCAACAUUCUCACAGGCAAGGACUGGAAGCUGAAAGGCAGGGGGGCCCUAACCCCCAGGCACCUCCACAAAUGGCUCAGGGGAUUCUCACCUGAAUCAAGAUGGCCUCCAGGGCUUCGAGUAAUGCCUCCUCCUUCGGAGCAGCAGGCCUUACAGACUCUGAAGACGGACCAUCCAAAGGUAGCUGCCUGGUACUGGGGCCAGAAGAUUGGAAAGCUCUACCAGAAUAUGAACCCAGGUACCCUCUGCCUCAUCCUGCUGCCAGGAUGCAAGAGGAUUACCCCGCUGUGCUCUCACCCACAAAUAACCUCAACUGGGACGCAUGACCACGACAGUAUGUAGAGCUACUGCUUCAUAGGCCUGGCUGAUGUGAGAAUUAGAAGGAACAAGAGGCUUCAUGGAAUGACAGAGGCGUACCCCGAGGCCACUGUAUUGGCAUGUUGAGUGCCUUUGCACAUGAAAGGAAAAGAUGGUUGGCGUCCAGAUACUUACAAGCUGCCUGGUAAUGCUACUUCAAAUGUGACCUAAAAUUUAGACAAAGGCGUUGUUCUGUGAAAAGAAAUGUGCAGUACAUAUCAGAAACAGGAAGCUUUACAAAAACAAAAGUGCCUGGGCCUGGCCCCAAGAUUUUUAUUCCAUAGGUCUGCUAUAGCAUCAGGUAAGUAUUGUGUAUGUGUGUGUGUGGGGGGGGUUCCCUCUGGAUCAGAACCACAGCUUGGCUCAGAACAUUUAAGCUUUAGAGAAACUGGGGGGGAAGAAGCGUAUCUUGUAAAGCCAAGUCAGUUCUAGCCUAACUGGCAUCACUGCCAGUGGUGCUCUCUCUCCUCCUCUGUUCACCGGCUGACAUAAAGUAUUUGUGACUAACCUGGUG